rnacentral:rRNA from 1 species
GGGAUAACACUUGGAAACAGGUGCUAAUACCGUAUAACACUAUUUUCCGCAUGGAAGAAAGUUGAAAGGCGCUUUUGCGUCACUGAUGGAUGGACCCGCGGUGCAUUAGCUAGUUGGUGAGGUAACGGCUCACCAAGGCCACGAUGCAUAGCCGACCUGAGAGGGUGAUCGGCCACACUGGGACUGAGACACGGCCCAGACUCCUACGGGAGGCAGCAGUAGGGAAUCUUCGGCAAUGGACGAAAGUCUGACCGAGCAACGCCGCGUGAGUGAAGAAGGUUUUCGGAUCGUAAAACUCUGUUGUUAGAGAAGAACAAGGAUGAGAGUAAAAUGUUCAUCCCUUGACGGUAUCUAACCAGAAAGCCACGGCUAACUACGUGCCAGCAGCCACGGUAAUACGUAGGUGGCAAGCGUUGUCCGGAUUUAUUGGGCGUAAAGCGAGCGCAGGCGGUUUCUUAAGUCUGAUGUGAAAGCCCCCGGCUCAACCGGGGAGGGUCAUUGGAAACUGGGAGACUUGAGUGCAGAAGAGGAGAGUGGAAUUCCAUGUGUAGCGGUGAAAUGCGUAGAUAUAUGGAGGAACACCAGUGGCGAAGGCGGCUCUCUGGUCUGUAACUGACGCUGAGGCUCGAAAGCGUGGGGAGCGAACAGGAUUAGAUACCCUGGUAGUCCACGCCGUAAACGAUCCGUAAAGGUGUUGGAGGGUUUCCGCCCUUCAGUGCUGCAGCA